UGGGGAAUUUUGGACAAUGGGGGAAACCCUGAUCCAGCCAUCCCGCGUGUGCGAUGAAGGCCUUCGGGUUGUAAAGCACUUUUGGCAGGAAAGAAACGUCAUGGGUUAAUACCCCGUGAAACUGACGGUACCUGCAGAAUAAGCACCGGCUAACUACGUGCCAGCAGCCGCGGUAAUACGUAGGGUGCAAGCGUUAAUCGGAAUUACUGGGCGUAAAGCGUGCGCAGGCGGUUCGGAAAGAAAGAUGUGAAAUCCCAGAGCUCAACUUUGGAACUGCAUUUUUAACUACCGGGCUAGAGUGUGUCAGAGGGAGGUGGAAUUCCGCGUGUAGCAGUGAAAUGCGUAGAUAUGCGGAGGAACACCGAUGGCGAAGGCAGCCUCCUGGGAUAACACUGACGCUCAUGCACGAAAUCGUGGGGAGCAAACAGG
rnacentral:rRNA from 1 species